rnacentral:rRNA from 1 species
GAGGUUAAGCGACUAAGCGUACACGGUGGAUGCCCUGGCAGUCAGAGGCGAUGAAGGACGUGCUAAUCUGCGAAAAGCGCCGGCGAGGUGAUAUGAACCUUUGACCCGGCGAUGUCCGAAUGGGGAAACCCAGUGCAAUCCGUUGCACUAUCGUUUGAUGAAUACAUAGUCAAACGAGGCGAACCGGGGGAACUGAAACAUCUAAGUACCCCGAGGAAAAGAAAUCAACCGAGAUUCCCCCAGUAGCGGCGAGCGAACGGGGAGCAGCCCAGAGCCUGAAUCAGCUUGUGUGUUAGUGGAACGGUCUGGAAAGUCCGGCGAUACAGGGUGACAGCCCCGUACACGAAAGCACACAGGUUGUGAGCUCGAUGAGUAGGGCGGGACACGUGGUAUCCUGUCUGAAUAUGGGGGGACCAUCCUCCAAGGCUAAAUACUCCUGACUGACCGAUAGUG